AAACGACUCUCGGCAACGGAUAUCUUGGCUCACGCAUCGAUGAAGAACGUAGGAAAAUGUGAUACUUGGUGUGAAUUGCAGAAUCCCGUGAACCAUCGAGUUUUUUAGCGCAAGUUGCGCCCGAAGCCAUCCGGUUGAGAGCACAUUUUCUUGGGCAUCACACA
rnacentral:rRNA from 1 species